UACGAAGGGGGCUAGCGUUGCUCGGAAUGACUGGGCGUAAAGGGCGCGUAGGCGGAUAUGACAGUCAGACGUGAAAUUCCUGGGCUCAACCUGGGGACUGCGUUUGAGAUGUGAUGUCUAGAGUGAGGAAGAGGGUUGUGGAAUUCCCAGUGUAGAGGUGAAAUUCGUAGAUAUUGGGAAGAACACCGGUGGCGAAGGCGGCAACCUGGUCCUUUACUGACGCUGAGGCGCGAAAGCGUGGGGAGCAAACAGG
rnacentral:rRNA from 1 species